rnacentral:misc_RNA from 1 species
UCAAACUUGGUCAUUUAGAGGAAGUAAAAGUCGUAACAAGGUCUCCGUUGGUGAACCAGCGGAGGGAUCAUUACCGAGUUUUCAACUCCCAAACCCCUGUGAACCUUACCUAUCGUUGCCUCGGCGGGGUCGCCCCGGUGCCUCUGUCGCCCGGAAUCAGGCGCCCGCCGAAGGACCCCAAAACUCUUGUUUUUAUGUAUGAAUUUCUGAGUGGCACAAGCAAAAUGAAUCAAAACUUUCAACAACGGAUCUCUUGGUUCUGGCAUCGAUGAAGAACGCAGC